GGGCCACAGUACUCAGUCCUCAGUCCUGCUGCUGCACCAGUGCUGAGAGGAACAUGAGCCGCCUGCUAUCAGUGCUGCUGAUCACUGUAGGAGCCCUGCUGGCUCCAGCUGAGGGAGAGACAGUCAGUGUCAGUCUCAGUCUUGACCAGCUGGAUCCCAGAGCUGUGGACAUUGUUUUAAAUCACUUCAAUGGGAAUAACCGACUGAAAAAAGCCUUUCGCCUGGAUACCCAACGAUCAGGAUUUGGAGCCAGAAUUACUGAGAGCGAAUCCUCUGGGACCCUCCAUACAUUUGAGUUCCAUGUGAAGGAAACGGACUGUCCUCAUACAGCCCCAUUAACACAGCAGUGUAACAUCCAGCCUACUGGGAAUGUGAGGAUAUGUAAGGGAUGCUUUUCAGUCCUCCAUGAUGACAGCUUUGAUGAGGCCCAGAAGUACAUUGAUUGCGCCCGUUUAAGCUCCAUGCAAAAGAGUCGUCGAGGUCAUAUAGAUGAGGCAUGUGCAAGACUUCAGCAUCAUACGAGGCCUAUCGUAUCAUAUUUUAAUGGAGUAUUUUCCGCUCUUCAAGAAGCACCCCGAGUAUCAACAUAAAGAUUGUUCAUCUUUCAGCAGUGAUACUGUAAUGUAGUCACAACUCCCAAUCAGCACAGUACUACCAGAGCAAAGCUCCUGCUGCUGCUUCACUGUCGAACCCAAGUCUCUGUCUGAUACCAUCACACGAUAGAUUCAACAACCACUUACCUACAGCAUUAACAGUAAUUUUGACUUUCAAUGUAACUAUAUAAAUAUGAAGCAUUCUGUAUUAAGAAUGCUGGAUUCAUUUGAUUGUCUUUUUCUAAUUAAAUGAAAUAAUGUCAUUAUUUGCCUUAUUUUACAGCAGUUUAGAGUACACAGCAUUUAUACGUGAUACAUUUACUGACUGAAUGAUUGUUAGUUAAAUUGUUGAGGGGGAAAAUAUGUUUGUUAUAUAAUAACUGAAUAUAAAUUAAUCAUGCAAUAUAAACUGUGGCAUUGAUUAAAGAUAAUUAAAUGUAAGAA